UUAUUAGAACAUAGUGUUAAUACAUCAGAUCCCAUUAGAACUUCGUAGUUAAGCACACUUAGUAUAGAUUAGUAUUGGGAUGGGUGACCUCCCGGGAAGUCUUAGUAUUUUACAUGC
rfam:Picea glauca, whole genome shotgun sequence.